UUCUAACCGUAAACGAUGUUAACUAGCGACUCGCAGGCGUUACUUUAACGGCCCUGCGAGGAGCUCCCGGGAAACCUAAGUGUUCGAAUUCCGGGGGAAGUAUGGUUGCAAAGCUGAAACUUAAAGGAAUUGACGGAAGGGCACCACCAGGAGUGGAGCUUGCGGCUUAAUUUGACUCAACGCGGGGAAACUCACUUGGUCAGGACACUGUGAGGAUUGACAGAUUGAAAGCUCUUUCUUGAUUCGGUGGAUGGUGGUGCAUGGCCGUUCUUAGUUGGUGGAGUGAUUUGUCUGGUUAAUUCCGAUAACGAACGAGACUCUAUCUUGCUAACUAGUCACAGGAUUAUUCUGACUGUGGAGCUUCUUAGAAGGACAGGGGGUUACAACCCCACGAGAUUGAGCAAUAACAGGUCUGUGAUGCCCUUAGAUGUCCAAGGCUGCACGCGUGCU
rnacentral:rRNA from 1 species